UACGAGGGGAGCAAGCGUUGUUCGGAUUUACUGGGCGUAAAGGGCGCGUAGGCGGCGUGACAAGUCACUUGUGAAAUCUCCGGGCUUAACUCGGAACGGUCAAGUGAUACUGUCGUGCUAGAGUACAGAAGGGGCAACUGGAAUUCUCGGUGUAGCGGUGAAAUGCGCAGAUAUCAGGAAGAACACCCGUGGCGAAGGCGGCUCUCUGGGACGGUACUGACGCUGAGACGCGAAAGCGUGGGGAGCGAACAGG
rnacentral:rRNA from 1 species